rnacentral:rRNA from 1 species
UGCAGCGACGCCGCGUGAAGUGAAGAAAGUAUUUCGGUAUGUAAAGCUCUGUCAGCAGGGAAGAAAAUGACGGUACCUGACCAAGAAGCCCCGGCUAACUACGUGCC